rnacentral:rRNA from 1 species
UACAGAGGGUGCAAGCGUUGUUCGGAAUUAUUGGGCGUAAAGGGCGCGUAGGCGGUGCGGUAAGUCCGCAGUGAAAUCUCCGGGCUUAACUCGGAACGGUCAAGUGAUACUGUCGGACUAGAGUACAGAAGGGGCAACUGGAAUUCUCGGUGUAGCGGUGAAAUGCGCAGAUAUCAGGAGGAACACCGGUGGCGAAGGCGGGUCUCUGGGCCGAUACUGACGCUGAGGAGCGAAAGCGUGGGGAGCGAACAGG